GUGCUCACUUCAGCAGCAUAUGUACUAAAAUUGGAACGAUACAGAGAAGAUUAGUAUGGCCCCUGAGCAAGGAUGACAUGCAAAUUUGUGAAGUGUUCAAUAUUUUU
rnacentral:snRNA from 1 species